CCGAGAGGCGUAGGCGAUGGAUAACCGGUUGAUAUUCCGGUACCCGCUGUGAAGCGUCAAACAUCGAACCAGGCGAUGCUAAGUCCGUGAAGCCGCCCUUGAUCUCUUCGGAGUGAGGGGGAGUGGUGGAGCCGACGGACCAGACCUGUAGUAGGUGAGUGAUGGGGUGACGCAGGAAGGUAGUCCAUCCCGGGCGGUGGUUGUCCCGGGGUAAGGGUGUAGGCCGCAAGGUAGGUAAAUCCGCCUUGCAUACGGCUGAGACCUGAUGCCGAGCCGAUUGUGGUGAAGUGGAUGAUCCUAUGCUGUCGAGAAAAGCCCCUAGCGAGUUUCAUGGCGGCCCGUACCCCAAACCAACACUGG
rnacentral:rRNA from 1 species